GAUUAGUGGCGAACGGGUGAGUAACACGUGAGUAACCUGCCCUUGACUCUGGGAUAAGCCUGGGAAACUGGGUCUAAUACCGGAUAUGACCUUCCAUCGCAUGGUGGUUGGUGGAAAGCUUUUGUGGUUUUGGAUGGACUCGCGGCCUAUCAGCUUGUUGGUGGGGUAAUGGCCUACCAAGGCGACGACGGGUAGCCGGCCUGAGAGGGUGACCGGCCACACUGGGACUGAGACACGGCCCAGACUCCUACGGGAGGCAGCAGUGGGGAAUAUUGCACAAUGGGCGCAAGCCUGAUGCAGCGACGCCGCGUGAGGGAUGACGGCCUUCGGGUUGUAAACCUCUUUCAGUAGGGAAGAAGCGUAAGUGACGGUACCUGCAGAAGAAGCGCCGGCUAACUACGUGCCAGCAGCCGCGGUAAUACGUAGGGCGCAAGCGUUAUCCGGAAUUAUUGGGCGUAAAGAGCUCGUAGGCGGUUUGUCGCGUCUGCCGUGAAAGUCCGGGGCUCAACUCCGGAUCUGCGGUGGGUACGGGCAGACUAGAGUGAUGUAGGGGAGACUGGAAUUCCUGGUGUAGCGGUGAAAUGCGCAGAUAUCAGGAGGAACACCGAUGGCGAAGGCAGGUCUCUGGGCAUUAACUGACGCUGAGGAGCGAAAGCAUGGGGAGCGAACAGGAUUAGAUACCCUGGUAGUCCAUGCCGUAAACGUUGGGCACUAGGUGUGGGGGACAUUCCACGUUUUCCGCGCCGUAGCUAACGCAUUAAGUGCCCCGCCUGGGGAGUACGGCCGCAAGGCUAAAACUCAAAGGAAUUGACGGGGGCCCGCACAAGCGGCGGAGCAUGCGGAUUACUUCGAUGCAACGCGAAGAACCUUACCAAGGCUUGACAUGAACCGGAAAGAUCUGGAAACAGGUCCCCCACUUGUGGUCGGUUUACAGGUGGUGCAUGGUGGUCGUCAGCUCGUGUCGUGAGAUGUUGGGUUAAGUCCCGCAACGAGCGCAACCCUCGUUCUAUGUUGCCAGCACGUGAUGGUGGGGACUCAUAGGAGACUGCCGGGGUCAACUCGGAGGAAGGUGGGGACGACGUCAAAUCAUCAUGCCCCUUAUGUCUUGGGCUUCACGCCUGCUACAAUGGCCGGUACAAAGGGUUGCGAUACUGUGAGGUGGAGCUAAUCCCAAAAAGCCGGUCUCAGUUCGGAUUGGGGUCUGCAACUCGACCCCAUGAAGUCGGAGUCGCUAGUAAUCGCAGAUCAGCAACGCUGCGGUGAAUACGUUCCCGGGCCUGUACACACCGCCCGUCAAGUCACGAAAGUUGGUAACACCCGAAGCCGG
rnacentral:rRNA from 1 species